CCUACGGCGGCUGCAGUGGGGAAUAUUGCACAAUGGGCGCAAGCCUGAUGCAGCCAUGCCGCGUGUGUGAAGAAGGCCUUCGGGUUGUAAAGCACUUUCAGCGGGGAGGAAGGCGUUAAGGUUAAUAACCUUGUCGAUUGACGUUACCCGCAGAAGAAGCACCGGCUAACUCCGUGCCAGCAGCCGCGGUAAUACGGAGGGUGCAGGCGUUAAUCGGAAUUACUGGGCGUAAAGCGCACGCAGGCGGUCUGUCAAGUCGGAUGUGAAAUCCCCGGGCUCAACCUGGGAACUGCAUUCGAAACUGGCAGGCUAGAGUCUUGUAGAGGGGGGUAGAAUUCCAGGUGUAGCGGUGAAAUGCGUAGAGAUCUGGAGGAAUACCGGUGGCGAAGGCGGCCCCCUGGACAAAGACUGACGCUCAGGUGCGAAAGCGUGGGGAGCAAACAGGAUUAGAUACCCCGGUAGUC
rnacentral:rRNA from 1 species